UGGGAGUGUAGUUUAAUAGUAAAACAACAGUUUCCAAAACUGCAAGAUAAGAGUUCAAACCUUUUCACUCCUGUC
rnacentral:tRNA from 1 species